rnacentral:rRNA from 1 species
GGAGUGAAAAAGAACCUGAAACCGUGUACGUACAAGCAGUGGGAGCACCCUUUGGGGUGUGACUGCGUACCUUUUGUAUAAUGGGUCAGCGACUUAUAUUCUGUAGCAAGGUUAACCGAAUAGGGGAGCCGGAGGGAAACCGAGUCUUAAUUGGGCGUUAAGUUGCAGGGUAUAGACCCGAAACCCGGUGAUCUAGCCAUGGGCAGGUUGAAGGUUGGGUAACACUAACUGGAGGACCGAACCGACUAAUGUUGAAAAAUUAGCGGAUGACCUGUGGCUGGGGGUGAAAGGCCAAUCAAACCGGGAGAUAGCUGGUUCUCCCCGAAAGCUAUUUAGGUAGCGCCUCGUGAAUUCAUCUCCGGGGGUAGAGCACUGUUUCGGCUAGGGGGCCAUCCCGGCUUACCAACCCGAUGCAAACUGCGAAUACCGGAGAAUGUUAUCACGGGAGACACACGGCGGGUGCUAACGUCCGUCGUGAAGAGGGAAACAACCCAGACCGCCAGCUAAGGUCCCAAAGUCAUGGUUAAGUGGGAAACGAUGUGGGAAGGCCCAGACAGCCAGGAUGUUGGCUUAGAAGCAGCCAUCAUUUAAAGAAAGCGUAAUAGCUCACUGGUCGAGUCGGCCUGCGCGGAAGAUGUAACGGGGCUAAACCAUGCACCGAAGCUGCGGCAGCGA